rfam:Gluconacetobacter sp. SXCC-1 Contig2955, whole genome shotgun sequence.
GUCCCGUUCGUCUAGAGGCCUAGGACGCCGCCCUCUCACGGCGGCAACACGAGUUCGAAUCUCGUACGGGACG